rnacentral:rRNA from 1 species
UACGUAGGGUGCAAGCGUUGUCCGGAAUUAUUGGGCGUAAAGAGCUCGUAGGCGGUUUGUCGCGUCGGCUGUGAAAACUCGGGGCUCAACCCCGAGCCUGCAGUCGAUACGGGCAGACUAGAGUGCUGUAGGGGAGACUGGAAUUCCUGGUGUAGCGGUGAAAUGCGCAGAUAUCAGGAGGAACACCGGUGGCGAAGGCGGGUCUCUGGGCCGAUACUGACGCUGAGGAGCGAAAGCGUGGGGGAGCGAACAGG